UACGUAGGGUGCGAGCGUUAAUCGGAAUUACUGGGCGUAAAGCGUGCGCAGGCGGUUGUGCAAGACAGAUGUGAAAAUCCCCGGGCUUAACCUGGGAAUUGCAUUUGUGACUGCACGGCUAGAGUGUGUCAGAGGGAGGUAGAAUUCCACGUGUAGCAGUGAAAUGCGUAGAUAUGUGGAGGAAUACCGAUGGCGAAGGCAGCCUCCUGGGAUAACACUGACGCUCAUGCACGAAAGCGUGGGGAGCAAACAGG
rnacentral:rRNA from 1 species